ACCCCGGUAGCUCAAAAGGAUAGAGCAAGGCUCUCCUAAAGCCUAGGUUGUGGGUUCGACUCCCACCCGGGGUA
rnacentral:tRNA from 1 species